rnacentral:rRNA from 1 species
UACGGAGGGUGCAAGCGUUAUCCGGAUUCACUGGGUUUAAAGGGUGCGUAGGUGGGCAGGUAAGUCAGACGUGAAAUCCCUCAGCUUAACUGGGGAACUGCGUCUGAUACUGGAUGGCUUGGAUUCGGGAGAGGAAUGCGGAAUUCCAGGUGUAGCGGUGAAAUGCGUAGAUAUCUGGAGGAACACCGGUGGCGAAGGCGGCGUCCUGGACCAACACUGACACUGAUGAGCGAAAGCCAGGGGAGCAAACGGG